UACGUAGGGACCGAGCGUUGUCCGGAAUCAUUGGGCGUAAAGAGCGUGUAGGCGGCUUGCUAAGUCUUGCGUGAAAUCUCGGGGCUCAAUCCCGAGCGGUCGUGGGAAACUGGCAGGCUAGAGUGCGGGAGAGGAGAAUGGAAUUCCUGGUGUAGCGGUGAAAUGCGCAGAUAUCAGGAAGAACACCCGUGGCGAAGGCGGUUCUCUGGAACGCAACUGACGCUGAGACGCGAAAGCGUGGGGAGCAAACAGG
rnacentral:rRNA from 1 species